rnacentral:rRNA from 1 species
CGACUCUCGACAACGGAUAUCUAGGCUCUCGCAUCGAUGAAGAACGUAGCAAAAUGCGAUACUUGGUGUGAAUUGCAGAAUCCCGUGAAUCAUCGAGUUUUUGAACGCAAGUUGCGCCCAAAGCCAUUAGGCCGAGGGCACGUCUGCCUGGGUGUCACG